rnacentral:rRNA from 1 species
GACGAACGCUGGCGGCGUGCUUAACACAUGCAAGUCGAGCGGAAAGGCCCUUUCGGGGGUACUCGAGCGGCGAACGGGUGAGUAACACGUGAGUAAUCUGCCCUUGGCUUUGGGAUAACCACCGGAAACGGUGGCUAAUACCGGAUACGACCACUCCCGGCAUCGGGGGGUGGUGGAAAGUUUUUUCGGCCAGGGCUGUGCUCGCGGCCUAUCAGCUUGUUGGUGGGGUAAUGGCCUACCAAGGCUUCGACGCGUAGCCGGCCUGUGAGGGUGACCGGCCACACUGGGACUGGGACACGGCCCAGACUCCUACGGGAGGCAGCAGUGGGGAAUAUUGGACAAUGGGCGGAAGCCUGAUCCAGCAACGCCGCGUGAGGGAUGACGGCCUUCGGGUUGUAAACCUCUUUCAGUACCGACGAAGCGCAGAUGAUGGCGGUGACGGUAGGUACAGAAGAAGCACCGGCCAACUACGUGCCAGCCGCCGCAGUAA